AAUAUGUUCAUUUUUCAGUUUUUGAUACAAUAUUUUACUAUUCGUCUUAUUUAAAAUUUUUCUGCGAUUAAUAUUUUCAUUGUUACUAAAUGAUAAAACAUAAAUAGUAUUUUACGCAUGAUUAAUUUUUUAAACAAAUUUUCCUAAAUAAGACGAUGGUCAAACGUUCGACACGAAAAUCGA
rnacentral:pre_miRNA from 1 species